CCUACGGGGGGCAGCAGUCGAGAAUCAUGCACAAUGGGGGAAACCCUGAUGCAGCGACGCCGCGUGAGUGAAGAAGUAAUUCGUUAUGUAAAGCUCUAUCAGCAGGGAAGAAAAUGACGGUACCUGAGUAAGAAGCCCCGGCUAACUACGUGCCAGCAGCCGCGGUAAUACGUAGGGGGCAAGCGGUAACCGGAUUUACUGGGUGUAAAGGGAGCGUAGACGGCGGUGCAUGACUGGAGUGAAAGACGGGGGCUCAACCCCCGGACUGCUCUGGAAACUGUACGGCUGGAGUGCAGGAGAGAUAAUGGGAAUUCCUAGUGUAGCGGUGAAAUGCGUAGAUAUUAGGAGGAACACCAGUGGCGAAGGCGACUUACUGGACUGUAACUGACGUUGAGGCUCGAAAGCGUGGGGAGCAAACAGGAUUAGAUACCCCGGGUAGUC
rnacentral:rRNA from 1 species